CGGGCGAUCGGGCGGAAUCCAUCGCUCCAGGUGUCCAGCAGCUGAGAACGGACCGCGACCCAGUCAGCACGUGUGUCUGCUGUCGGGUUCGCGACUGUGUCCUUGCCGUGCUGCAACGUCCCUCGCCUGUGCUCCGGAAACCCGGUGUCACCCUUGGUCACUUCCCCUCUGCUGCGGUGGACAUACCGCUCAUACGCUGGGAGAGCCAAAGGGGACCAUCCGGAGCUUGGCCGACUCUCCCUUUCACAGCAACGUCCGGGACGAGACCCCGGAGCGGUCUGGCGUCCUCUCAAGAGCGCCAGGCUUCCCAAAUCCACCCCCCACAGAGCGCCCUGACGCCAUACGACACCCGAGUCUGGAUUACAGUCUCCAUUUUCAGCACUGGGCCUCAAAGUGCUCCCCCCUCUCCGGCAUCGCGGCCCCCGGGCUUUGAUCCCAUCCAGCACCGGUGCAGUAGGCCCAGAGUGGUGCUGACAGCUGGCCGACCAUAACGUCACUGCACUCGCCUUCUGCAACAUGUCCAGUGUUGUCACAGAAUCUCCACGGAAACCAGCUAAACAGGUGGAAGUAUGCAGAGUUCGGCCAGUGCGGAGAGGAUGUUAUAUAAAGCUGUCAGGCACAGCGCAUGGGGGCUGGAUGACGAGUGGCCAGUCGCUGAAGGGCUGUCCAGCGACUGGUUCAAACCUGCAGCCGGGUGUUGGGGGAAACGGCACCAACCUGGAAAGAUUCCCCCCUUCGCUGCAACUGAUACCUGGGUUCUGAAACCAUGGUUCCCAGAGCACCGAUGGAAAGGAAACUUCAAGCACCAAAAGGCUACGUUCUGGUUGAGUGGUUCUGUGAACGCUUUACGCUCUGGCUGUGAACUCGGGAUGAGUGGCUUGUUUUGGCAGGUGACACUUUGAUAUGCAACACACCUGGUGCGAAGGAGCUGACGGACGGCCUCUCCCGUCACCGCCCGCACAUCCCCCCAGACUGCGGCGCUAACUGGGCGCCCUGCAGUCAGUGGGGUUGCGAAUGUAGUCCGCCUACAGCGAUGACAUCACGAGGGGACGUGGGCGGGGGGGAUUGCUGAUCGGUUCUUUCAUAGCCCACAUUCGGGUUUGCCCCACAAUGGCUGGCAUGCUGAGCAACGGGCCGAGCAGCUGCGUGGAGACACCUCAAGCUGUGCUGGGCAUAUUCUCAAGGAAAUCUGCGUGUGAAAAGAGUGACGCACACACAGAAGACACAUGCGCAAUUUCAGAGGACGCCAGCCUCUCUAACCCAUGAAUAAAAGCAUCUGCCGCGACAAUAAGCACAACUGCGGAGCUAACCAGUUUGGAUGAAAAAAAACACACUUUCUACAGCGGAGCACAAAGUAAAACAAUAUACACACACACACACACACACACACGCUGGAUUGCAUCCUCUUUUUUGGUGUAUUUACGACGGAGAAACUGUUCCGUCCUGAACCCGUCUUGCGGUUCUGCAGUUUCUCCUCCGCUGAAUUUGCCCUCGGUUGAAUCCAUUUCAUUAGUCGUUUUUUUUUUCCGCUCAUUUUGAAAUAAAUGUUUUUUCUAAGGUUGCUCUUGUGAGAAAAGAUUGUUCAUCCAGGUGCUAUCUAAAUAUUCAAACGUUUUUUACCCGUUUUGAGCAUCUGUGUGCCCAUUGCAGGGUUGCAGUUGACUUGAGCCGAAGGUGUAAGGCAGGGUAAACCUGGACGGGACGCCAGUCCAUCACAGAGCAGUAAAACACACUGAUUUAUUCGCACACAUGCACGCAUUACGGGCAACCUGGAGUCUGUUGGAGUCCAGCCGAAACGUGUCUUUGGACUGAGGGACGAAACCUACGGGAAGAACACGCAAA